rnacentral:lncRNA from 13 species
CUAUCUCUCUGUACCACCCAAUAUAACAUAGUCUGUGUCCCCACGAGGCUCUGGUCAAAAUUAGUGCACCAUAUAGGGAAUAGUGUGGCAUUUGGGGCACUGGCUCGGUAACUCUGACGAACACCAUGGCAAAAUGAUGCCUCAUAUUGACCUGUAUUGGUCCAUGACACAAUCUGGCUGUCAGACAAUAAAAAACGCAUUACAGAAGGUUACGUGUAGUCUAUGAAAACAUUUCUUUAUUGAGACAAACAGGAAGUAGGAAGAGAGAACACCAGAGAAACCUGUCGGCGGUGGAAAGUUGGAGAGGAGAUAUUCUCACAAGUACAAAAGGAACACUACUUGCAAUAUAGAAACGCACACCAAAGAAGGUGAAAGUCUGAUGAUGGUCCUUUAAAUCUGCAUUGAUACGGGAGCGUUAUUCUAUUCUAUUUAUUAUGUCUAUAUUCUAUUAAUUAUGUCUAUCAAAAUACAUUCACUACAAUGUAGAUGCUCAGAAUGCUAUCUGGCUCUCUCUACAAUUUGCAUUCUUCCGCCCAGCUUUCUCUUUCCCUCCGGCCCUGUGUAAACCUUCUAUGCUGUGUGUGUGGUAACUACUGGCUGUUUUAAUAUCCAUGAGCUACUUGAGAGCUCACUCAUUGAGCCCUAUAGCUUCACAGUAUACGUACAUAGUAACGUCAGGAGUAGAAUGGUCAAUUAAAACAAGGUUCCACCCAUGGAAUUAGAACCAACUCAUUCUACAGUUCCAGUUCCAUCUUGAUAGGCUACUUCCUUCUCCUUCGUGGCUAUGCCGUCCUUCUCCCAUUUCUGAUCUGAAGUCUAUUGACUCUCAGGGUUUUUUAGGCUUGGGCUUGACUUUGACCUUAUCCUUAGCAGCAGCCGCUAGCACUUUGAUGGUGGUGGAGAUGGUUCUGGNNNNNNNNNNUAUACAGUAGAGAGGCUCUAUACAGUAGAGAGGCUAUAAAAGUAGCGAGUCUACAUACAGACACUGGUUAGUCAGGCUGAUUGAGGUAGUGUGUACAUGUAGUUAUGGUUAGUCAGGCUGAUUGAGGUAGUAUGUACAUGUAGUUAUGGUUAAAGUGACUAUGCAUAUAUAAUUUGUUUGGUUGUUGUUCUUCCUCCUAGAUCUCUGUUGAAGCAAUGUAAAA